rnacentral:lncRNA from 1 species
GCUUAUAGACCGGAAGCCGGGACCUUAAUUCUCUUUCCCAUCUUGCAAGAUGGCGGGUGAAAAAGUUGAGAAGCCAGAUACUAAAGAGAAGAAACCCGAAGCCAAGAAGGUUGAUGCUGGUGGCAAGGUGAAAAAGGGUAACCUCAAAGCUAAAAAGCCCAAGAAGGGGAAGCCCCAUUGCAGCCGCAACCCUGUCCUUGUCAGAGGAAUUGGCAGGUAUUCCCGAUCUGCCAUGUAUUCCAGAAAGGCCAUGUACAAGAGGAAGUACUCAGCCGCUAAAUCCAAGGUAAGGGAAGAGGACCACGGACCAUUAUGUCUUAACCUUAAUUGGCAUUCUCUUACUGUUGAUGCAUUUGUGUCCUUGUAGGUUGAAAAGAAAAAGAAGGAGAAGGUUCUCGCAACUGUUACAAAACCAGUUGGUGGUGACAAGAACGGCGGUACCCGGGUGGUUAAACUUCGCAAAAUGGUAAGAUGUGGGGACUGUAAAUUGGAUUUUCUGUUUAUGCUUGAAUACUGUGAAGAUGUUUUUGAAUACUUAGAUACUGUAAGUUUCUGCAUACCGGAGAAUUUCUGAUAGAAAAUAAAGGGCUCUGGGUUUGUAACUUGGCUUCAACAUUUACUGUUAAUCUUAAGUAAUUUAAAUUACUCGUCUGUGCUUUGUUCCUUUGCAUAUAAUAUGGGAAUGAGGCUGAGUGUGGUGGCUAAUGCCUGUAAUCCCAGCACUUUGGGAGGCUGAGGCGAGCAGAUCACCUGAGGUCAGGAGUUCAAGACCAGCCUGGCCAACAUGGUGAAACCACAUCUCUAGUAAAAAUAUACAAAUUAGCUGGUUGCGUGCCUGUAGUCCCAGCUGCUCUGGAGGCUGAGGCAGAAGAAUCGCUUGAACCCGGGAGGCAGAGAUUGCACUACUGCACUCCAGCCUGGGCGACAGAGGGAGGCUUCAUCUCAAAAAAAGAUAAGAUGGGAAUGAGGGUUUACCUCAAAGAGUUUUUAUGGAGAUUAAAUGAAAUAAUACAUAGCCUGUUCUAUAGAACAUUUCCCACUAGAGCAGUGUUUCUUGGCCCCCUUUACCACACACAAGACCCAAUGUAAUCUCAGGAUUUGCUCUGUAAUUUUCAUUAUGGGAACAUUCCCAAAUAAGUUAACACCAUACAGUUUCACAGUUGAAGAUUACUGCAUGAGAGGGAAGAUGACAGUUGUUUUGUGAACUCGUUUUCCCAUUAGGUGAUCAUGUUUGUGGUGAAAGUGAGACUGCACUAAUGAUAUGGUAUAGUUGGAAAUAGGUUAUUGUGAGUUAUUUGUAGUCAUGUCUUUAAUGGCCCUUGCAUGGUGUCUAACUUCUGCAAUAAAUGAUCUGCCAGUCCUAGUGUCUGGCUUUAUGCAAUUUGUUUUCCUUUGUGGAUGAAGUGGGAGUAAGACUUGUUGCUGUGAGGAUCAGAUGAAGUGGCUAGGAUAUGGACACACUUUACUUGAAUUGGAAAACAAGCCAUGUAUCCCUAAUCUGCAAAAUGUGGCAUGUCACACGUGUAAUCUCUGAGGUUUAGUUUUUGCUCAAGAUUGCAAAGGUGACUUGCUUGAUGCUUUCUUUGCUUGAGCACACAUCUCAUUCAUUAAAUGGUGUCUCCUUUUUUGCACACAGGAUGCAGAAGCAUAAUUGACCUUUUCCAAGUCUACUUAGCAGAAAUGAAAAUGGAAUCAUAUAAAUACAGUAUUAUACUUUAAAAUAAAAAGGCUGUAGCAAAAGUUUGGCUGACAUAGCUUGCUUCUAGUAAUCUGAAUGGCUUAUUUAAAUAAGUUGGAUCUAUGGACUCUCCACAGCCUAGAUAUUAUCCUACUGAAGAUGUGCCUCGAAAGCUGUUGAGCCACGGCAAAAAACCCUUCAGUCAGCACGUGAGAAAACUGCGAGCCAGCAUUACCCCCGGGACCAUUCUGAUCAUCCUCACUGGACGCCACAGGGGCAAGAGGGUGGUUUUCCUGAAGCAGCUGGCUAGUGGCUUAUUACUUGUGACUG